GGAUUCAAGGGAAAGAAACCAUGGUCUUCUUCCAAGAUUUAAAGCAGAGAUUUGAAUUGGGAAGUGCCACUGUUUUCUGGGCUAUAUUGGAAUAAUUCCUCUGCUACUGGCUGUAGGGAUUAUUGCUUACAAAUACAGGCCUAACAACUCAUUUGAGAUCACUCAAAGUGCAGGAUGACCAAAUGGGUCUUUAAAAGCAGUAUAGAAUCAACUGAGUGCCUACUCAGUAUAACAGCAUUAGACUCAAAGCAGGGUUGCAGACGAUAGCACAGUUUGCCUGAGCUUUCCAUUCAUACAUCUGGUUUCCUUUUGAAAAAGGCCCUCAAACCUCAUAAAACUCCAGCCUUUUGAAUCAAACCACAAAUUCCUUAUAGCUAACCUCAGCAAAACUCCUCGCACAUUCUGUAUACUUACUUCCACUAGCUCUCAAUCCUCUUCUAUUUUUCCAUCUCCACUAAGUUAGUCAGAGCCAAACUUGCAAGAAUAAAUCAUGGUUUUUCCUUCUCAAUUCACUUCAUAUUAAUAAAAAUUAUGGUCAUUUUCCUGUUUUCGACCUUUGAUGUACUAUAGCUACCAUUGAUUGAGCUCCAGUUAUGUGCCAAGUGCUUUUACAUAGUAUCCUGUUCAAUUCUACAGCAACCUUGCAAGAUAGGUGGUAUUUUUCCAGCCUUUCCAAAGAAGAAAGAGUAAUAAAGAGAAGGCAUUGUUUCAUUGUCUUACUCUUGCUGAGUAGUAAACCUAGUAAUUCAAAUUCAGUCAUUAUUAACUGCAAUGCCUUCACUUCUAAUUCCUGUCUCUAUGCAUGGCAGAUUCAUGAAAAUUAGUUUUCAAACAUAAUUUUAUAUUUAAACAGCCCCUCAUUUCCCCAAGUAAUUACUAUCUUGAUUACUUCAUGAGAAUGACAAUUGUUACUGCUCUCAGUAGCAGCUACUGUUAUGUUGAAUAUUUUAUAUACCCUGGACCUUAUAAUCAUUCUCAAGGCAAAUGUUAUUAUAUCCAUUCUAUAGAUUUAUAAAAUUAGAUGCAAAUUUGUAUGACCUGAUCAAGAUCACAUGGUAACUGAUUAUUUGAAACUGCGUGUGUAAUAACACAAAUCCAAUUGUGUACAUACUGAAUCUUUGAAAUACUGCGGUUAACUCAUUCAGUCCCCCAGCAAACUUACAAGAAGGACAAUAUCACCAUUUGCCUUGCACACGGGAAGAAACUGAAGUUCAGACAAAUGGAUUGAUCAUUCAAGGCCACACAGCUGGCCAGUUCGAGAGGUAAGGUGUGAAUCAGCAUGCUCUGGGUUCUGACCCUGUGCUGGGAACCAUUGCACUGUGCUGACUGCUAUGAGACUGCAGUCUCUGCUCUGGAUAGAUAUCUAUGUGAAUGGUUUUAAAACUGGAUUAUUAUCUGCAGCUUUUAAUUCUUUGAUGAACCCAUUGUGGGGAAGGACAGGACUUAAUGCAUGCAGUGUCUAUGGUGAUCAGUUAUGGAAGUAGAUUUUUACUUAUGUCUGAGAAUUUUGACUGAAUUUUAGUCUCAUGCAAGAGUGACCUACAAGAAUUAUACAGCUGUGUGAAAGCUGGAGCUUGACUUGGCAGAAAGCAGCAUCAUGGACUGUGGUGGUUCCCCUUCCAUCAAGAUUUAGCUAAAUAAUGAGCAAAUCAUUCUGGAAUCUUCUGGGAUGCUGGACAAGACAGGAGAAAAUAUCACAAGAUAGAACUCAACACCUGAAGGACUCUGCAAUGACAAGAUCAACUCUUGGUCUAUCUACAGCAUAUUUGAUUCUCUGAACUUUUUGCAAUAUCUCUCCAACUAUAGGGAUAGAUAUAUACUCUAGCUUAAAGUGCAAUCCUCCUCUUGGAAAAUUUUUGAAGCUCACAUGUUUUAUUUACUGAUAACUGCCAGAUAUAAAUUCACAUUUAGGUUUCUUUUAAUACAGGUUAUUUGUUCAAGUUGCUUUCCAGUUAAGAUUCUUAAUUUUCUCAAAAAUUCAAAUAAAAUUUAUACCCAAUAUUUAUUAUUGAUUUUGAGUAAAGCCAGAACAGCUUUUCAUAUCAAUAUUUAAAAUACAUGUUCCUGCCAAAAAAUUAUGGGAAGGUGCCCUCUAGCAAUGCAGAGACUAAGAGAAGAGAAACGUGGAGGGAAUCAAUAUUUAUGAUCACUUAUGCACUGACAGUCAUUGAAGUACUGUGUAUGCACGUCUCAUGUAAUAGGCACUCAUUAUUAAUAAUUCUCACUUUACAGGUAAAGAAGCAAACCUAAACCUGUGAGUGAGACAGCAUAGGUCACAUAACUAGAAUAUGUAUGAGCUAGAGUUUGAAAACCAAUCUGUCUAAUUUUAAAAUGCCUUGUCUCUUGUCUCUUACCCAACCAUUCUGCUGCCUCUUAGGAUACAGUAAAGAUAAGUCUAGGAAGACAAUAAAGUUUGGGGGUCAGGAAAUGCUCGUUCCUACAAGGGACAAACGAAAUGCAAACCAUGAAGUUCAAUCACAUUUUGGACACAGUGCAUAGAAAAUGGGCUGUCCAUAUUUUAAGAUACUGGUGAACUUUAUUUCCUUUAUCUGGGUUGGAAGUAAGCUAUUGACGGAAGAAGUCAUUAAUUUUAGUAAGAAAAUAUGUCAUAUACCAUAAUUUUGUGUGCCAUUCAUGCAUUAAUUUAUUGAAAAUUCUCUCAUAUAGAUUUGUCAUGGUUUAUGUUGGUGGCCCCCAGGCCUCAUAAAUUUGCAUUGUGCAUUUGUGAUUGGCUCAUUGUCUAGCGCUUGGAUUGGGGGUGUGAGUGCUACACUGGCCUAGGGGUGGAGUCAAGAUGUAAUGUAAUGGCAAGAAGGUGUAUCUCACUCUUUUGCCCCCAGUUUCUGCCUUGCUGUUUGCAGCCGCCAUGAACUGCGGCCCAGCCAUGCCACCCCGCCUUGGAGCCAACUGAGUAUGGACUGAAACCUACAUAAACUGUAAGAAAUAAACCUUUCCUUUCCCAA